UGAAACAACCUUGUAUUCGAAUACAGAGAUGCUGUAUUCGAAUACAACAAUAUUGUUUUGUUAAAAACUUCAUUUCUCAACCUUGUUUAUGCAUGUUUGGCAUAUGGAAACCCUUUUAAGGUGCAUGCUUAGUUGAAAGGUUAUUUUGAGCAUUUAAAAUCUUAAUUGCUAUGUGUUAACUGUUAUUUUUUUGGUUGGUGACCCUUUACAAUUAUUGUGGAAAUGUGGGCUUUGCCCUCAGAUGAGAGUCAGGACGGUCCUACCGGUUCGUGCCCUACGGACGGGAAUGGAGAUGGGAACGCUUGACUGCAGCUACGUUAGGAGGAUCUCACGGGGCGCGUGGAGAUCACUCAGGGUGUUUAGUUGUUUUGUAAAAUGAUCAAACUAGGUUGUCACAGAGGGAACGGAUGUCUUUCUUUUGGGGUUGUGUUUAUUUUUAACCGGAAGACUGUACUGUUACUAUUAUUGUCAGUACGACACCUUAGUUGAAUGGGUUCCUUGUAUCUUCUGGUUGUUGUUUAAAUACUUUGGAUGUAUGUAUUUGAGAAACUUUUUCCGCUGCUUGUAAAUUUUAAUGACUCAAUUAUUUAUCC
rnacentral:lncRNA from 1 species